rnacentral:rRNA from 1 species
UACGAAGGGGGCUAGCGUUGUUCGGAAUUACUGGGCGUAAAGCGCGCGCAGGCGGUCUUCCAAGUCAGUGGUGAAAGCCCGGAGCUCAACUCCGGAACUGCCAUUGAAACUGUUAGACUUGAGGAUGAGAGAGGUGAGUGGAAUUCCCAGUGUAGAGGUGAAAUUCGUAGAUAUCGGGAGGAACACCAGUGGCGAAGGCGGCGACCUGGACAGAUAUUGACGCUGAGGUGCGAAAGCGUGGGGAGCAAACAGG